rnacentral:tRNA from 2 species
GGCCCUUUGGCCAAGUGGUAAGGUGUUCUCCUCCGGUAGAUUCCCCGAAUCACGGUUCCAGAGAAAGAUCGCAGGUUCAAUCCCUGCAAGGGUCG